AGAAUAAUUACCAUCAUUCCAUAGCAAUGGUGGGUUUUUGAUACGUCUAUAAUUUGUCAAACCCGCCCUAGAGGCGGGUUUU
rnacentral:sRNA from 1 species